GACGGGGGAUGCAAGCGUUAAUCGGCAUUACUGGGCGUAAAGCGCAUGCCGGCGGCCGAACAAGUCAGGUGUGAAAUCCUCGGGCUUAACCUGGGAAGUGCACUUGAUACUGUCCGGCUAGAGUUUGGCAGAGGAAAGUAGAAUUCCCGGUGUAGCGGUGAAAUGCGUAGAUAUCGGGAGGAAUACCAGUGGCGAAGGCGCCUUUCUGGGCCAAUACUGACGCUGAGGUGCGAAAGCGUGGGGAGCAAACAGG
rnacentral:rRNA from 1 species